GCUUGGCCCUAAACCUCAGUAGUUAGAUAACAAAACUACUCGCCAGAAUACUACAAGCUAUAGCUUAAAACUCAAAGGACUUGACGGUGCUUUACACCCCCUAGAGGAGCCUGUUCCGUAAUCGAUAAACCCCGAUCCACCCCACCCUCUCUUGCUCAGCCUAUAUACCGCCAUCUUCAGCAAACCCUAAUGAGGGUCACAAAGUGAGCGCAAAUGCCAUUGCCGCAAACACGUUAGGUCAAGGUGUAGCCUAUGAGACGGUAAAAAAUGGGCUACAUUUUCUACCUCAGAAAAUUCCACGAAAACCCUUAUGAAAUUUAAGGGUCCAAGGAGGAUUUAGCAGUAAAUUAAGAAUAGAGUGCUUAAUUGAACCAGGCCAUAAAGCGCGC
rnacentral:rRNA from 1 species